rnacentral:rRNA from 1 species
AUACGUAGGGUGCGAGCGUUGUCCGGAAUUACUGGGCGUAAAGAGCUCGUAGGUGGUUUGUCGCGUCGUCUGUGAAAUUCCGGGGCUUAACUCCGGGCGUACAGGCGAUACGGGCAUAACUUGAGUACUGUAGGGGAGACUGGAAUUCCUGGUGUAGCGGUGAAAUGCGCAGAUAUCAGGAGGAACACCGGUGGCGAAGGCGGGUCUCUGGGCAGUAACUGACGCUGAGGAGCGAAAGCAUGGGUAGCGAACAGGAUUAGAUACCCUGUUAGUCCAUGCCGUAAACGGUGGGCGCUAGGUGUAGGGGUCUUCCACGACUUCUGUGCCGUAGCUAACGCAUUAAGCGCCCCGCCUGGGGAGUACGGCCGCAAGGCUAAAACUCAAAGGAAUUGACGGGG